GCUCAGAUUGAACGCUGGCGGCAGGCUUAACACAUGCAAGUCGAGCGGAUGAAGGGAGCUUGCUCCUGGAUUCAGCGGCGGACGGGUGAGUAAUGCUUAGGAAUCUGCCUAUUAGUGGGGGACAACAGUUGGAAACGACUGCUAAUACCGCAUACGCCCUACGGGGGAAAGGAGGGGAUCUUCGGACCUUUCGCUAAUAGAUGAGCCUAAGUCAGAUUAGCUAGUUGGUGGGGUAAAGGCCUACCAAGGCGACGAUCUGUAGCGGGUCUGAGAGGAUGAUCCGCCACACUGGGACUGAGACACGGCCCAGACUCCUACGGGAGGCAGCAGUGGGGAAUAUUGGACAAUGGGGGCAACCCUGAUCCAGCCAUGCCGCGUGUGUGAAGAAGGCCUUUUGGUUGUAAAGCACUUUAAGCGAGGAGGAGGCUCUUCUAGUUAAUACCUAGGAUGAGUGGACGUUACUCGCAGAAUAAGCACCGGCUAACUCUGUGCCAGCAGCCGCGGUAAUACAGAGGGUGCGAGCGUUAAUCGGAUUUACUGGGCGUAAAGCGUACGUAGGCGGCUUUUUAAGUCGGAUGUGAAAUCCCUGAGCUUAACUUAGGAAUUGCAUUCGAUACUGGGAAGCUAGAGUAUGGGAGAGGAUGGUAGAAUUCCAGGUGUAGCGGUGAAAUGCGUAGAGAUSUGGAGGAAUACCGAUGGCGAAGGCAGCCAUCUGGCCUAAUACUGACGCUGAGGUACGAAAGCAUGGGGAGCAAACAGGAUUAGAUACCCUGGUAGUCCAUGCCGUAAACGAUGUCUACUAGCCGUUGGGGCCUUUGAGGCUUUAGUGGCGCAGCUAACGCGAUAAGUAGACCGCCUGGGGAGUACGGUCGCAAGACUAAAACUCAAAUGAAUUGACGGGGGCCCGCACAAGCGGUGGAGCAUGUGGUUUAAUUCGAUGCAACGCGAAGAACCUUACCUGGUCUUGACAUAGUAAGAACUUUCCAGAGAUGGAUUGGUGCCUUCGGGAACUUACAUACAGGUGCUGCAUGGCUGUCGUCAGCUCGUGUCGUGAGAUGUUGGGUUAAGUCCCGCAACGAGCGCAACCCUUUUCCUUAUUUGCCAGCGGGUUAAGCCGGGAACUUUAAGGAUACUGCCAGUGACAAACUGGAGGAAGGCGGGGACGACGUCAAGUCAUCAUGGCCCUUACGACCAGGGCUACACACGUGCUACAAUGGUCGGUACAAAGGGUUGCUACUCCGCGAGGAGAUGCUAAUCUCAAAAAGCCGAUCGUAGUCCGGAUCGCAGUCUGCAACUCGACUGCGUGAAGUCGGAAUCGCUAGUAAUCGCGGAUCAGAAUGCCGCGGUGAAUACGUUCCCGGGCCUUGUACACACCGCCCGUCACACCAUGGGAGUUUGUUGCACCAGAAGUAGGUAGUCUAACCGUAAGGAGGACGCUACC
rnacentral:rRNA from 1 species